AUCGAACGCUGGCGGCAGGCCUAACACAUGCAAGUCGAGCGAGCGGCGGACGGGUGAGUAAUGUCUGGUAAACUGCCUGUUGGAGGGGGAUAACUACUGGAAACGGUAGCUAAUACCGCAUAACAUCAGAUGUGCCCAGAGGGGAAUAGCUAGUAGGUGGGGUAACGGCUCACCUAGGCGACGAUCCCUAGCUGGUCUGAGAGGAUGACCGGCCACACUGGAACUGAGACACGGUCCAGACUCCUACGGGAGGCAGCAGUGGGGAAUAUUGGACAAUGGGCGCAAGCCUGAUGCAGCCAUGCCGCGUGUGUGAAGAAGGCCUUCGGGUUGUAAAGCUCUUUCAGCGGGGAGGCGUUACCCGCAGAAGAAGCAACGGCUAACUCCGUGCCAGCCGCCGCGGUAAUUC
rnacentral:rRNA from 1 species